GGGAGAUGGAUCAGUAAACAUCAACGGAGAGCUUGCUGUCAAGAGGAAAACUGGGACAUGGAGAGCAUGCUUCUUUGUUGUAGGUGAUAAUCUCCU
rnacentral:pre_miRNA from 1 species